rnacentral:rRNA from 1 species
GAUGAACGCUAGCGGCAGGCUUAACACAUGCAAGUCGAGGGGUAACAGGGGAGCUUGCUCUCGCUGACGACCGGCGCACGGGUGAGUAACGCGUAUGCGACCUACCUAUCACACGGGGAUAGCCCAUGGAAACGUGGAUUAAUACCCGAUGGUUUGUAAAGCUUCAUGGUUUUACAAAUAAAGCUUUGGCGGUGAUAGAUGGGCAUGCGUAAUAUUAGCUAGUUGGUAAGGUAACGGCUUACCAGGCGAUGAUAUUUAGGGGUCUAAAGGAUGAUCCUCCACACUGGUACUGAGACACGGACCAGACUCCUACGGGAGGCAGCAGUGAGGAAUAUUGCACAAUGGGGGAACCCUGAUGCAGCCAUUCCGCGUGAAGGACUACGGUUCUAUGGAUUGUAAACUUCUUUUCUACAGGAGAAUAAGAGUAUCGUGAUGCUCGAUGACUGUACUGUAGG